UACGUAGGCGGUUUAUUAAGUCAGAUGUGAAAGCCCCGGGCUUAACCUGGGAACUGCAUUUGAUACUGGUAAACUAGAGUAUGGUAGAGGGGGGUAGAAUUCCUAGUGUAGCGGUGAAAUGCGUAGAUAUUAGGAGGAAUACCAGUGGCGAAGGCGGCCCCUGGACCAAUACUGACGCUGAGGUACGAAAGCGUGGGUAGCGAACA
rnacentral:rRNA from 1 species